GUAUAUAUAAUUUAAAUAAAAUAUUAAACUGUGACUUUAAUAAUGAGAGUUAAAAUCCCUCUAUAAACC
rnacentral:tRNA from 1 species